rnacentral:rRNA from 1 species
GACGAACGCUGGCGGCGUGCUUAACACAUGCAAGUCGAACGGAAAGGCCCUGCUUUUGUGGGGUGCUCGAGUGGCGAACGGGUGAGUAACACGUGAGUAACCUGCCCUUGACUUUGGGAUAACUUCAGGAAACUGGGGCUAAUACCGGAUAGGAGCUCCUGCUGCAUGGUGGGGGUUGGAAAGUUUCGGCGGUUGGGGAUGGACUCGCGGCUUAUCAGCUUGUUGGUGGGGUAGUGGCUUACCAAGGCUUUGACGGGUAGCCGGCCUGAGAGGGUGACCGGCCACAUUGGGACUGGGAUACGGCCCAGACUCCUACGGGAGGCAGCAGUGGGGAAUAUUGCACAAUGGGCGGAAGCCUGAUGCAGCAACGCCGCGUGCGGGAUGACGGCCUUCGGGUUGUAAUCCGCUUUCGCCUGUGACGAAGCGUGAGUGACGGUAAUGGGUAAAGAAGCACCGGCUAACUACGUG